rnacentral:rRNA from 2 species
UGCUGGUGUUUUACCAAUGAGUGUCCCACCUCUUCCCAUUCCGAACAGAGAAGUGAAAGCUCAUUGGCCCGAUGAUACUCCUUUGGGGGAAAGUAGGGUAUGCCAGCAU